rnacentral:rRNA from 1 species
AGUGAACGCUGGCGGUAGGCCUAACACAUGCAAGUCGAACGGCAGCACAGUAAGAGCUUGCUCUUACGGGUGGCGAGUGGCGGACGGGUGAGGAAUACAUCGGAAUCUACUUUUUCGUGGGGGAUAACGUAGGGAAACUUACGCUAAUACCGCAUACGACCUACGGGUGAAAGCAGGGGAUCUUCGGACCUUGCGCGAUUGAAUGAGCCGAUGUCGGAUUAGCUAGUUGGCGGGGUAAAGGCCCACCAAGGCGACGAUCCGUAGCUGGUCUGAGAGGAUGAUCAGCCACACUGGAACUGAGACACGGUCCAGACUCCUACGGGAGGCAGCAGUGGGGAAUAUUGGACAAGGGGCGCAAGCCUGAUCCAGCCAUACCGCGUGGGUGAAGAAGGCCUUCGGGUUGUAAAGCCCUUUUGUUGGGAAAGAAAAGCAGCAGGUUAAUACCCCGCUGUUCUGACGGUACCCAAAGAAGAAGCACCGGCUAACUUCGU